UCACAGCAACCUCAACAGGCACUUGGGUCCAUAAUUCCCAACGAGGGCCUGAGAGGCUGGUGCUGAGUAAUACUGGUGCCUAGUCUAUCUGACCUGCUUGUGGUCCUACAGAUUGUGUGCACGUACCUGGUACCUUCUCACAGAGGUGUUGCAGGACCCCAGUGUCCCUUGGCCGGGUUUCUUCCAGACCCCAGGAGCCGAGGGGGAUGCAGUGCCACCACUGUUGCACAGGAGGGGCCCCAAGGUCAGGUCACCCUUAGUAGCCUAACUACUGCAUCAAGGCCACCAAGGGAGCAUCACACCCUUGCCCAGUUGAUGAGACAGCCUGGCACUGUACAGCGUGCCCAACGCUCAGUGAGGGGAGCUGUCAUUCCCGGGAAGAGGGGGAGAAGCACGGACUGCAUGAGGCAGGUAUGAGGCACCACGUGUAGGACUAGAUCCUGCUUCACAGCACUGGGCUGGUGCAAUACCCACCUGUGAGCUCCUGAGGCAGUCGGUCCCCUGCUCCUGCCUUUGGUUUACAUCUGGCUGCACAUUUCCAGGGCAAAGCCUUUGGCCCUGGUUGCCCAGGCAUCCGCACAUGCGCAUCGGUCACGAGCAACUCGGUGGUACUACUCACGGAAAGAAGAGAGAAACAGCAAAAUGCGUGUGGAAGACAUGAGGACGGAGAGGCCAAGCACAAGGAAACGCUGUAGCCUGGGUGUCACUUCCACACCUGGUCAUGGAUGGCACAAGCUCUCUAUGGUCUCCAAAUGCUGAGAGGAAAUUCUCAUUACUAUUUCUCCUUUGA